AUUUUCACAAAGUCAAAAUGUAAGCCAAGAUUUUUCUCUCUCUUUUUUUUUUUUUUGGCUGAGCACAGGGUACUUUAUUGAUGGUAUAUGACAAGGUGGGGCUCCCUAGGCCCCUCCCCUCUUCAAGGGGUCUACAUGGAAACUGUGAGGAGGGGAGAUUCAGUGUGGUGGGGGACUGAGUGUGGCAGGGACUCCCCAGCAGUGAGGGUCUCUCUCUUCCUCUUGUGCUCUUACUGGGGCU
rnacentral:lncRNA from 1 species